rnacentral:lncRNA from 1 species
CUGGAAUAAUACGUGAGCAUGGAAUAUAUUUUCUGAAAAGCCACCAUUUUUUAGACUGUGUGAGGUAUUCGUAUGUGUAUAUGUAUGAAAGAGAAAGUGAGAGUGGCAGAAAUAGAGCUCAUCAUUUCUGCUACCAUCAAUAAUAAUUUUCAAGGAAUUCCAGAUGAUUCCUAACUAACUCUUUCUCUUCCUUUGGUAGUGAAACCAUAAUCCACACAAGUUAAAAAAAAUCAGUGUUAGGAAAAUUCUGUCAGCCUUCUGAGUAGACUGAGACAUGCAUUGGGGCUUGGUUAUAUUUUCUCAGCCAAAAGAGAGAAGGCUUGAAAGGGGGAAACAAAGACAAUGGAGAAAUGACUUUAAUAUUUCACUGGGGUAGAGUCGUUCUAAUAGCAGUCAGCUUAAAAACUAUCCCUUCCUGACCUAGAAACAUAGAGUUCAACAUAAUUGUUCAUGAGAGUAGUACAAAUUAAAGCCAUAAUGAGACACCAUCACACAACUAUUUAGAAUGGCGAAAUGAAAGACUGACAUAGCAAGUGUUGGCAAGAAUGUGGAACAACUAAAAAUCUCAUAGGCUGGCUUUGAACUCCUGGCCUCAAGUGAUCCUUCUGCCUCAUCUCCACAAGGUACUGGGUUAUAGGCAUGAGCCACCAUACCCAGCCAGGCUCAUAUACUGAUGAUGGAAAUGUAGAAUGGUACAGCCACUUGGGAAAACAUGUUGCUGGUUUCUUAUACAAGUUAACAUACAGUUACAAUAUGAUUCCCCAAUCUCAAUUCUAGCUGUUUACCAAUGAGAAAUGAAAACAUGUUUACACAAAAGCCUGUAUACAAGUAUUUAUGGAGGUUUUAUCCACAAUUGUCAAAACCUGAAUACCAAAAAUUUUUCCACUUAUAAAUGGAUAAACAAAUUUUGGUACAUCCACACAAUGGAUAAAUCUCAAACAAAUAUGGAAAGUAAAAACUCAGAUUCAAAAGGCUACAUACUGUAUGAUUCCCUUUAUAUGACUUUCCUAAAAAGGCAAAACUGUAGGGAUAAAAAAUAAAGCAGUGGUUGCGAGAAUCUUGCAGAAGAGGAAAGUGUUUAUGACAAAGAGGCACAAUGGAACUUUUUGGGGAGCUAGAAAUGUUCUUUAUCUCGAUUGUGAUGGUUACAUCACCGAAUGUAUUUGUAAAAACUCAUAAAAGUAUACACUAAAAAAGAUGAAUUUUACACUACAUAAAUGAUACUUCAAUAAACCUGACUUUAAAGGAUUAUAGAACAAAAAUUUAGAAGAUAUCAAAAAUUCAGAGUCAUGAAAGAAAAGUAGGGUAUCUCAACUAGAUCUAAAGAGACGACAGAAACAAAAAUAACCAAAUGAAAUAUAUGAGCGUGGAAUAUAUUCUGGUCUGAAAUAAUCCAAUAAAACCACUAAUAAAAUUGUGUUUAUACAAUUGGGAAUAUUUCAAUAUGGCCUGCAUUUAGAUAUUAUAUAAUUAAUGUUAAUUUUCUUAGGCAUUAAAAGUAUAUGAUGAUUACAUAGAAUGCCUUUUUUUUUUUUUGUUAGGAGACACAUACUGAAAUAUUUAAGGUGAAACAGUAUUUACAACUUUCUUUCAAAUGAUUCUGCAAAAUAAAAGCAAGAGGGAACAUAAGGGCCUCCCUCUUUUGCCCAGGCUGGAGUGCAGUCACAGGAUUAUGGCUCACUGCAGCCUAGACCUCCCAGGCUCAAGUGGUCCUCCCACCUCAGCCUCCUGAAGUAGCUGCGACCACAGACACACACCACCACACUCACCUAAUUUUUUGUAGAGACAUGGUCUCACUGUGUUGCCCAGGCUGAUUUGAAACUCCUAGACUUAAACAACCCUUCCACUUUGGCCUCCCAAAGUACUGGGAUUACAGGCAUGAGCCACCAUGCACAGCUGACAUAUUUUUAAAUAGUAAUAUUUCUUUAAGAAACGUGAUAUACUUCUACAUUUACUCAAAGCUUUAUGUUCCUUAGUAAAGUAUUGCAUUUUCCUGGACAUUUAAAAAUAUUUCUCAUUACUUCAUAGCAUUUGUACUACUGGAAAUUGGUGCUUUUCCUAGUAUAUUGUUUAGUUAGUGUAAUUACUGCUAUGUAGGAAUGUAGUGCUUGUUGUAUAAGUAUUUUGUUACAAACCACUUUAGCUGGGCAUGUUGGCUCACACCUGUAAUCCCAGCACUUUGGAAGGUUGAGGCAGGAGGACCGCUUGAGGCCAGGAGUUUGAAAACAGCCUGGGCAACAUAGCAAGAUGCCAAUCUCAAAAAAAAAAAAAAAAAAAAAAAAAAAAAAAGCCACGUGAAUGAAUUUGCUUAUUAGCUCUUAUAUCUUUUGAAUUAAAAUUUUCUUAGGUGGGAAAUCAUCCAAUCUUCUAGUCUGACUCAUUUUUCUACAUAAACUUUCAUAAAUAAAGUUUCAUAAAAAAGAAACUUUCAUUUCUUUUUCUUAAUCUUACUCAUUUGCAUAAUGAGUGAGAUCAAAUAAUAGUGAGGAAAGAAGCAAAGGUGCCAUGUACCUGAAAUAUAAAAACUAAUGAUUCUAGUGCUUCCCAAAUUAAGUGUGAUUUUGGCUAUUUGAGAUAAAUAUUAUUUUUCUUGCAUUCCUAUUUUUGUACUUUUUAAACAACCAGCAGUGGAAAUUGGAUACAAUUUCAUUAUUUUGGGGGCAUUUAUAUUAAUAAUUAUACAUUUUUUAAUCUUUGCCCUACUGAUGUGAUAAAUUACAUCAACAGAUUUCUAAUUAGUAAGCCAUCCUCACAUUAUUAUAAUAAACUUUAUGUGAUCAUAUUGUAUUAUUUGAAUAUUUUACUAGUUAUUUUGUUUAUAGAUUUUUUUAGAUUUUUGAAUCUGUGUGAGUUGAAUUGGUUAUUACUUUUUUGGCUUAAAAAUAAGAUUUCUCAUUUUGACUUAGAGGCUGAAGUUUUUGUUCUAUUUCACAUGCUAAUUAGUAUUUUAUUAUUUUUCAUAGAAAAUAAAAAAUUGCUUCCUAAGCAAUGCCGGGAAGCUAUAAUUUUAAAGAGGGGAGUAAUGGAUUUGAUUGUAUUUAAAAAAUUAAACAUUUUUGUUUUUUUGAGACAAUGUCUCACCCUGUUGCCCAGGCUGGAAUGCAGUGGCACUAUCAUGGCUAACUGUAGCCUCCACCUCCUGCACUCAAGCAAGCCUCCUGACUCAGCCUCCUGAGUAGCUGGGACCCCAGGUGCACACCACCAUACCCAACUAAUUUCUGGUCUUGAACUCCUGGACUCGAAGGAUCCUCCCACCUUGGCCUCCCAAAGUGCUGGAAUUACAGGCAUGGGCCACUUCGCCCAGCCACAUUUGUGCAUAGCUAGUGACACAUAUGAACAAACUCAAAAGACUGGGAGAAAAUGGAUGUUUUACAUGGAAUAAAGAGUUAAUAGAGAUAUUUAGAUAUUUGAUAUUUAAAGGGCUUCUAGAAAUUAAUAAAAAAUUUAAAAGCAACAUAAAAUGGGAAAAUGGGCAAAAAUAUGAAAAGGAAUAUUUGAAGAAAAACAUAAAAAUAAAUACAUUAAAAUGUGUUCAACUUCAUUAUUGGUCAGGAAAAUGCAAAUUUCUGUAACAGUGAGAUGCCAUUUCCCUCAUCACAUUGUCAAAACUUAAAAGAUUAAUACAAUCCAGUGUUGGUGAGCGUGUGGAAACUGCUAUUCUCUGAUAUUCUUCAAGAGUAUUUGGGAGGAAUAAUAACUUCUACAGUCUUUUGAAAAAGCAAAUUGGAAAAAUCUAUUAAAAUAAAAUAGGCCUAUAUGGUUUUUCCCAGAAUUUAUCUUAAAGAAAUGAUAGUACAAGAAUAUUCAGAUAUAAAUGUAAAGAUAUCCAUUGAAACAUCUUUCUUUUUUUUUGCGGUGGCAAUGUACUAAAACAAAUGACCAUUAGUAGGAAAAUGGUUGAAUAAACUAUGAUCUGCCACUACAAAAAAUAUUGAAUAACUCUUAAAACUAAUGAAUAAUAAUCUUCUUAUUCUGACCAAAAAGAAGCCCAUAGUAAAUGGCUAUGAGUAAAAGGAAAAUUAUAGACAAAUAUGUAUUGCACGAUUCUAGGUUUUAAAAAUCUAUGUGUGAUUAGUACAUAUAGUUCUAUCUUUAUAAACUCCUGUGUAUCUUCAUAUACUUCGUAAUGUUAUGAAGUAUAUUGGCGUUAAUAUACUUCAUAUCAUUAAUAGUGGCACCCACUGGCAAAUGAGGCAGGGGGGCAGGACUGGAAGGACCCAAGUGGAAAUUUCUUUUAGCACUCUAUAAUUAAUACUUUAUAUUACUUUAAAAUGCUAAAAGUGUUUUGGAUGAUUCCUAUAUUUCUUGUGGUGAAAGACUCAAGGAAAGCAGAAAAAAGAUCAUCUAAAACAUUAUUUUUUAUCUUUAGAGUCUUAUCUGCAAACUGAGACCAAAAUUACUUCCAAAAGACUUUUGGCCCUUUCUAAAAUCGGAUCCUCCUUAAACGGAUGAAUAUUACACUGAGGUAUUCAGAAUAGUGUACUUGUAUAUUUGAAGGCAAUUCCAAAGAAUUUUGAGAAACAUUUUCAGUAACAACAGCAUCAUUGAAUAAGUACAUACAUUCCAUACAUGAUCUAGUUCCCAGUAAAAUAGUAGAAUAAAAACUUAUUUGUAAGUUGUUACUAUUUAUUUAUUUAUUUAUUUAUUUAUUUAUUUAUUUAUUUUGGAGACAGAGUCUUGCUCUGUCACCCAGGCUGGAGUGCAGUGGCCCGAUCUCGGCUCACUGCAAGCUCUACCUCCCAGGUUCAUGCCAUUCUCCUGCCUCAGCCUCUCGAUUAGCUGGGACUACAGGUGCUCGCCACCACUCCCAGCUAAUUUUUUGUAUUUUUUAGUAGAGAC